AGAAAACAUGUUCGGCUAAAAGUGCAGGAGGUCACCUGACCAGCAUCACCAGUGCAGAACAGAAUGAAUUCCUUCGUAAGCUUUCUCAGGGACAACAGAAUACCCAGUUCUGGACAGGGGGAACUUACCUAAAGGGUUCAUCGUUGAAAUGGAGUGAUGGAUCUCUGAUAACCUUUGUCCAGAGGCCUCUGUCAUCCAUUUUCCAUGCUGUUGGAGGACUAAUUAACAGCCUGCUUAACAUAAAACUUUGCCUGAUGGUCAAUAUCGGAGGAGGGGCUCAGUGGGACAGCUCCCCCUGCGGUCAGAAGCUGCCAUUCAUCUGCACUUACAAACCAAGCCUGGUCCAACUGUCACUGAACCACUGAUGAAACCUGACUGGUUGCCACGGCAUUUGGAAUUGAGUUCACCUGAAAUACAUUAGUGCAGAAAAAUCUUUUGCAUGGAAAAAUCAAGGUCUUAU
ensembl:lncRNA